UCAUCCUCACCAACUUUAUCACUGACCAGC
rnacentral:piRNA from 1 species